CGAAGAAGAAAGGAAAAAUGGAAGUGGAAGAAGAGGAGGAGCCAAGCCACAAUAUUUAGCUGAGGUGGGCCUCCGGUGUGGCCAGGCAGUUCAGCCUUGCCGUCAACCCUCCAUGUGAUGAGUCCGCAGAAAAAGACACGCUGAUUUAUUUGAAGUCAAGGACGGAGCCUUGAAAAACACCACAGUUUUGUCCACCGCCAUCACCACCUUCUCCCAGAUCAAGGACAAAGUGUAUUACAGACUCACACAUAAGGAAGAUAUGCGUGUGAUUGUGUUUGGGUGUGUUUGGAUGCAUUUGGGUGUGUUUUGGGUCUGUUUGGGUGUGUUUUGAGGUGUUUUAGU